rnacentral:rRNA from 1 species
CCUAUGGAGGGGGAUACACGGGAAACUGGGGAUAUACCCAUAGACUAUGAAUGCUGGGAUGCUUUGUAGUUGAAAGGUCCGCCGCCAUAGGAUGGGUCUGCGGCCGAUUAGGUUGUUGUUGGGGUAACGGCCCAACAAGCCUGUAAUCGGUACGGGUUGUGGGAGCAAGAGCCCGGAGAUGGAUUCUGAGACACGAAUCCAGGCCCUACUGGGCGCAGCAGGCGCGAAAACUUUACAAUGCGGGAAACCGUGAUAAGGGAACUCCGAGUGCCCGUAAAAUCGGGCUGUCCAUCUGUUUAAAUAACAGGUGAAGAAAGGGCCGGGCAAGACCGGUGCCAGCCGCCGCGGUAAUACCGGCGGCUCGAGUGGUGGCCACUAUUACUGGGCUUAAAGCGUUCGUAGCUGGUCUGUUAAGUCUCUGGGGAAAUCUACUGGCUUAACCAAUAGGCGUCUCAGGGAUACUGGCAGACUAGGGACCGGGAGAGGUGAGAGGUACUCCAGGGGUAGGAGUGAAAUCCUGUAAUCCUUGGGGGACCACCUGUGGCGAAGGCGUCUCACCAGAACGGCUCCGACAGUGAGGGACGAAAGCUGGGGGAGCAAACCGGAUUAGAUACCCGGGUAGUCCCAGCUGUAAACGAUGCGCGUUAGGUGUAUCGAUGACCACGAGUCAUCGAGGUGCCGAAGAGAAAUCGCGAAACGUGCCGCCUGGGAAGUACGGUCGCAAGGCUGAAACUUAAAGGAAUUGGCGGGGGAGCACCGCAACAGGUGGAGCCUGCGGUUUAAUCGGACUCAACGCCGGAAAUCUCACCGGAUAAGACAGCUGGAUGAUAGUCGGGCUGAAGACUCUACUUGACUAGCUGAGAGGAGGUGCAUGGCCGUCGUCAGUUCGUACUGUGAAGCAUCCUGUUAAGUCAGGCAACGAGCGAGACCCACGCCAACAGUUGCCGGCUCGUCCUCCGGGAUGGUGGGGACACUGUUGGGACCGCCUCUGCUAAAGAGGAGGAAGGAAUGGGCAACGGUAGGUCAGCAUGCCCCGAAUUAUCCGGGCUACACGCGGGCUACAAUGGGUGGGACAAUGGGUAUCGACACCGAAAGGUGAAGGCAAUCUCCUAAACCCAUCCUUUAGUUCGGAUUGUGGGCUGCAACUCGCCCACAUGAAGGCUGGGAAUUCUGUUA